rnacentral:lncRNA from 1 species
GGGCGCCCCGUGGGCGGGAAGGGGAGACAGACAGCACUGAGUGAGGGGCGCGCCGGGGUCACGCCGCCCCCCCCACCGCCACCCCCAAGUCCGGGGUGGGUUCCUGCCCCAGGGACUCGGGACGCCCACCUCCUCCGCCUGCCCCGCCCAGAGCCGGCCCAGCCCAGCCCCGGCCGCCCGCCCGGGAUCCCGGCCCGGGCCCUCUCCCCAGCGCUGGGCCCCGGCUCCGCCCCUCGCCGGAAUGAGGGGCCGCUGCCCGCGCCCCGGGCUUCUCCCGGUCAGGCCGGGGGCCGAGUCGGGGCGUUCGGAGCCGACAUCCUCGCCGGGGGGAGGCGGCGCGCUCGCCCUGAACGCCGGCUCUAUCCUGGCGGUGGAGGAAGGCAGGGCGGCCUCGGGUGGGGACCGCAGCCCCGCUCGGCGGCUCCGGCGGCCCGGGCCCCUCGGCCCGGCCCCCCCACCCCUCCCGCGGCUCUCACCCCCACGCUCCCUAAUCCAAUUUGCAACUUGGCCGCGCGCCGCCCUCGGCUCGGCCCCCACCCCCGCAGCCCCAAUUCCAGAGGCGGGAGGAUAGUCUCUUCUAGCCGUGGCGUCCCCAGCUCCCGGAGCCAGCGCGGGGCGGCGAGGACCGAGGAACCCGGGCGUGGGGAGGAGGUCGAGAGGAGCGAGCCCCGACCGUCUCCCCUGCGGUCAGGGACCCCUUUGCCCCCUUCGAACUGCCUCCCUCCUUCGCCACUCUUCGGAUCUCGUUGGAGCGGGGGCAGCGGCUCCUCAAGGCGGCGGGCGCCGGCGUCUUCAGAGCGCCAUGCGAACCGCGGAGCGAGUGUGGCAUCUCUACCAGGCGGGGUACCAGCCUCUAUGCCAGGCCAUAUGGGCUUGGCACGUCACGGGCAGCAGCUAUCACAUGAGAGACGGUGAUUGGCAUGCGUCUGCAUUGGGGGAGAGCCGGCUCCCCCGGGACCCGCCGCCAUCUGUCACUCUCUACUCCAAAAAAAAAAAAAAAAAAAAAAAAAAAAAAAAAAAAAAUUAAAUAAAUAAAGGAAAUAAAUAAAUAUCUCUGCCGCCCUCCCCUCCCCGCCCAACGCAGGGAAAGCAGGGAUUGAGAGGGAGGUGGGAGGAGUUGCCCCCCUCGGGUGGAGAGCCCCCCACAUGAGAACAAUGGGGUGGCAAGGCUGGAAAUUGGGGGGUAGUGGCCCCCAAUUCUGUGCUCCCUCCAGGGUCCUGCUCUGUCCAUUUCCUCCCUUCCAGGCCCCCAAAGGUGGGUCAGGGACCAAAUCCUCAGGUCUGGAGAAGAGACCUCUAGACUUGCCCCCACUCCCCCAGGAGGAUCCCCUCAGCCACAAAGGGACAGCUGAGGCCCCCUCCCAGGGUGGGCGUGGGGGGCUCCCUGGCCCAGCCCCAUAGGUAGAUGUUGGCACCAUGCCAUCCCUCAUCCCUGUCUACCCCUCCCCCACCCACCCUCACGCACACACAACAUAUGUGGCUGAACGAAAUUCAAACCAAGGGAAAGACAGAGAAAAGGAAAGACUUGCCUGGAUGUCUGUGCGUCUGCAUGGGCGUGUGUGUGUGUGUCUGUGGGGACAUGUGUGUAUAUCUGUGGAGUCAGCCUAUGAGAGAGAUUUCCUUGGGUGUUUGGGGGCAUAUGUGUGUUGGGGUGGGGGUGGAGAAGAACCUCUGGGAUCGGCCUAUGCACCCACCGCUGGGAGUGAGGGAGAGGGUCUCAGUCCGGAUUUCUAACCCAGAAAUCUCUCACUCAUCCCACCACCCCCACCUCCUCCCCCUCCUAGACAAGCAACCAUCCCACCAGUGGCUCUCUCUCCUGGCCCUCUGACUUAUUUAAGGGAGGGGGGGGGCUAGAAAUUGCCUGAAGUUCCUGGAGAAGACUCAGCAUUCUCCUCCCCCUACAAAAAAAUACUGAAAAUACUGAAGCCAACUCCAGCAGUCUUGAGAGUGACAAAGGGGAGGAGGGUCAGACAGGUGUCUUGAUAAAGAAGGUAGGAAAUUGCUGUUUUCUCUUACAGCUCACCUUUCAACUCUCUCUCUGGGCCAGACACAGAUGCCAAUGGCACGAGUUGAGGGCGAGUUGAGGGCGGUAGCUUUAGACACACACACACACACACACACACACACACACACACCCCUGUUCCUUACCCUGCGAUGCAGAAAGUGGAGAGACAUCCUGACUCAGAUACAUGUGUGUGAGCACGCACUCACAACCAGGUGAGAAGAACCCUUGCCCACACCCUGAUUCAGCAUUUGUAUGUUUCAGAUCCACACUCCAGUCCCUCCCCGUCCUCCAGCUUACACAGACAGCUUCAGUUAUAUCUUAAGCACACACAUUUUGAUGUCAACCAUGUGCCAAGCACUGCGAUGGCACAAUGAUGAGCAGGGCAGGGGCUUUGCUCUCAAUCUAGACAGAUACUGUUUUCUCCUUCAGGAAGCCUCUGAAAGGGACUUUGGGCUGGUAAGACACUGAUCUGAUGCUUGGUAGAAUGAAUUAGGUUUCAGCUAGAGGCACAUACAAUGGGCUAAGGAGGCCUUGGAGAAGGCAGGCUGGUGCCCUCUGAGGCUCUCAGGGAUAGUUGGCCAGGAAAUGAAAGAGCCUCAAAAUGAAUAGCCCCAAUUUGUUCUUUUCCUGAGGCCCAUGGAGGGGGGCUGUCUUGUCCAGGAACACACCAUUGGAGGGCAGAACCAGGCCUAGAACCGAGGGGCUUGACUCCCAGCCAAGUGCUCCUUCCAUAACCCCACAGUCUGCCUCAGUGGUCUCCAAGGAUGAGAAGCCAGUGCUUGGUUUUCCACCUUUUGUGCAUGGAUCUUAGGUCUGAGAAGGUAGAGUCCCACCUUGGACAGAUGGUCUACGGUGCUCCGGGCAUGGCCAGAAGGAGAGACUAAGGGAUAGGCCUCUGGCGGAGCAGAGACUCAGGAAUACCAGCCAGCCUGCCAUCCUGUCACCAAGUUUGCACACAGGCUCAAAGGCUUUACGGUCCCUUUACUGAGGUUGGGGCCUUCAAUCCUGACAUGGAACCCUUCUUCUCAAAGCCCCCAGCCAUGUGAUAUUUUGGUUACAUUCACAUGUUUUGGGCUCUGAUUACUGCCCAACCCUACCUACUAGCACCAAAGAAUGCUAACUACCUUGAGCAAGUUACAUACUAUCUCUCAGUCUUGACUUCCCCAUCUGGCAAAUGGGGAUAAUUAUGCUAUACCUCAUAGAGCUGCCAUUGGGACUAAAUUGGAUAAUACCCAUAAUGAGGUAGCACAGGGCCAGCGAUAAUACCGAGCACUCAGUAAAUGCCAUCUCUCAUUUUUAUUAAAGCACUUUGUAAACUAACCUACUCCACCAUAUUAAUUUCUUGCACAUACCCACACACACACACAUUCAGAAUGCUUUGUCUAUAUAGGAAUUGAGUUUUUGUUGAAUUAAUGGGUGAAUGAAUGGAUGAGUAAGUGAAUGAACACUUCCCUGUGGGAGAGAGACACCCUCUGCCUUCUCCUCUGGACACUGAGGGAUGGGUUAAGCCACCAGGGGUCUCAUAAGCCCCUACCAGCUUUGCUUUCUGCUCAGGGCAGGAAGCAAUACCUUGCUCAGGAUAAGGGAGCCCUUGGGAAGUCUCUCCAUCCCUCCUGAUCUCCUGUCAAGCCCUCUGGGUCUGAGAAGCCCCUCACAACCCCCCCCCCCCGCCCUGCCCCUGCCAUAGGAGGAGGCCUGGGGGUGGGGGUGGGCACACCGGAGGGUCUGGGCAACUUCAUCCCUCUCAGUCUGUUUCCUGCCCCUG